AGAGUUUCAUUCUGGCUCAGGAUGAACGCUGGCGGCGUGCUUAACACAUGCAAGUCGAACGGGAAACCUUUUAUUGAAGCUUCGGCAGAUUUAGCUGGUUUCUAGUGGCGGACGGGUGAGUAACGCGUGGGUAACCUGCCUUAUACAGGGGGAUAACAACCAGAAAUGGUUGCUAAUACCGCAUAAGCGCACAGGACCGCAUGGUCUAGUGUGAAAAACUCCGGUGGUAUAAGAUGGACCCGCGUUGGAUUAGCUAGUUGGCAGGGUAACGGCCUACCAAGGCGACGAUCCAUAGCCGGCCUGAGAGGGUGAACGGCCACAUUGGGACUGAGACACGGCCCAGACUCCUACGGGAGGCAGCAGUGGGGAAUAUUGCACAAUGGGGGAAACCCUGAUGCAGCGACGCCGCGUGAAGGAAGAAGUAUCUCGGUAUGUAAACUUCUAUCAGCAGGGAAGAUAGUGACGGUACCUGACUAAGAAGCCCCGGCUAACUACGUGCCAGCAGCCGCGGUAAUACGUAGGGGGCAAGCGUUAUCCGGAUUUACUGGGUGUAAAGGGAGCGUAGACGGACUGGCAAGUCUGAUGUGAAAGGCGGGGGCUCAACCCCUGGACUGCAUUGGAAACUGUUAGUCUUGAGUGCCGGAGAGGUAAGCGGAAUUCCUAGUGUAGCGGUGAAAUGCGUAGAUAUUAGGAGGAACACCAGUGGCGAAGGCGGCUUACUGGACGGUAACUGACGUUGAGGCUCGAAAGCGUGGGGAGCAAACAAGAUUAGAUACCCUGGUAGUCCACGGCGUAAAC
rnacentral:rRNA from 1 species